AAUAAAUAAAUAAAUAAAUAAAAAUGAUAAAUAAUAAAUAAUUAAAAAAGAAUGAAUAAAAAAUAAUGAAUAAAGACAGAAAAAAAGUAGCUUGUUUCCAAUGUCAAAACACAAAUUUAAUUUUUAAAUCCCAACCACCACAGAUAUUUAAAGUUUUCAGAUGCUUUUGACUCAUUAAGUUGAAUUAAUCUGUAAUAUAUGAAGUGUUUUUCUCUGUUAUUUGUUAGUGUGUGUAUUUUGUGUGAUGGAUUCGUAGGUUUUAUGCUGCAUUGAAUCGUAUUAGUUCAAAUCUGAGAAACCAAGUAUGCUUUAAUUUGGAGAACCAGCUCUUGAGUAAGAAAACGAGCUUUGUGGCUUUCCAGAGGAGAGUCUGUGCGUGUAUGUGCCCCCUCCGCCUGGACGCUCACAAAUACAUCCAUUCAGAGAGGAAGUCAAGUGUGGCUAAACAUGUGAUUGUUUCAGAAUGAGAGAGAAGCAUAUUUCAUAACUGCAGCACAUUUGAGAGGCUCUCUGCUAAAACAGAGUAAUAGGAUGAGCACGAGUCACAUUUCCGGCAGAUCAAAUAUGUAUCAUAACCUAUAAUCUGUAUCUAAAUCAGUGGUGUUUUCCUGUGCAAAAACUGCUGUGUUGAUGCUAAGUGUUUUUGGUUAGUUGCUAAGGUGUUGCUAUGCAGUUGCUAAGGUGUUCUGAGUGAUUUCUAGCACAGAGUUGUGGUCACCAGGGUGUUGCUGCGGUUGCCAGGGUGUUGCUAUGCAUUGCUAAGGUGUUCUGAGGGAUUUUUAGCAUAGAGUUGUGGUCAGCAGGGUGUUGCUGUGGUUGCCAGGGUGUUGCUGUGUGGUUGCUAAGGUGUUCUAAGUGAUUUUUAGCACAGAGUUGUGGUUGCCAGGGUGUUGCUAUGUGCUUGCUAAGGUGUUCUGAGUGAUUUUUAGCACAGAGUUGUGGUCACCAGGGUGAUGCUGUGGUUGCCAGGGUGAUGCUGUGUGGUUGCUAAGGUGUUCUAAGUGAUUUUUUAGCACAGAGUUGUGGUUGCCAGGGUGUUGCUAUGCACUUGCGAAGGUGUUCUGAGUGAUUUUUAGCACAGAGUUGUGGUUGCCAGGGUGUUGCUAUGUGCUUGCUAAGGUGUUCUGAGUGAUUUUUAGCACAGAGUUGUGGUCACCAGGGUGAUGCUGUGUGGUUGCUAAGGUGUUCUAAGUGAUUUUUAGCACAGAGUUGUGGUUGCCAGGGUGUUGCUAUGCACUUGUGAAGGUGUUCUGAGUGAUUUUUAGCACAGAGUUGUGGUCGCCAGGGUGUUGCUUUGCAUUUGCUAAGGUGUUCUGAGGGACUUUUUAACACAGAGUUGUGGUUGCCAGGGUGUUGCAGUGGUUGCCAGGGUGUUGCUUUGUGGUUGCUAAGGUGUUCUGAAUGAUUUUUAGCACAGAGUUGUGGUUGCCAGGGUGUUGCUAUGCAUUUACAGUGGUGUUCUGAGGGAUUUUUAGCACAGAGUUGCGGUCAGCAGGGUGUUGCUGUGGUUGCCAUGGUGUUGCUAUGCAUUUGCAGUGGUGUUCUGAGUGAUUUUUAGCUCAGACCUAUGGUUGUCAAGGCGUUGCUAUGUGUGUUCUGAGUCAUCAUAGGGAAGUUGUCAUAAUUAAGAGCAGCAUAUGUACAGGAAUAUCUACUUAUUUUAUCUACAUGAGGACUUCCUAUCAGUGUUGUUGUUAUUAACUAAAUCUUUUUAAAAAUUGUUAAUUGAAAUAAUGCUGAAAUAAAACAAAAUAUUAAAAUUUGAUGGAAAAAUGUUGCCUUGAACCCCCCAAAAAUAGCUAGGUCAGAUCGUAAUCACAUAAAAGUAGUAAAUGAAAGGCUGUGUACGACGUGAAAAACAUAAAUCUCUGUUCUGCUCUGAAACAGGAAAUAAAACAAAGAAAACCAUUCAUGACAUAACCGAUAACCUUUACUGCAACCUUUUCGGCUUUCACUUCUAUGUGCAUGUAAAUGUCUGUAAGUGUGAGAAUAAGGCAAGGUGGAUGCUCACACAAACACACACACACACACACAAACACACACACACACACACACACACACACACACAUAUCUGUCAUAGUCACAUUUGGACACACUGAUCGGACGUCUCAGCUGUCUUGCUCGGGUGUGGCUACUGUUAUAGCGAAGGCUAUCAGCCUGUUGAACAUUUUGGGAAAUCAUGGACGCUAUUAAAGGGGAGACGCUGUUAAAAGUCCAGCAGUUACGGGAUCAGUUUGAUAACCUGGAAAAGCACACACAGUGGGGAAUCGACUUUGUGGAAAAAUACACCAAAUUUGUGAAGGAAAGGACUGAGAUCGAGCUUAACUAUGCAAGACAGAUCAGGAAUCUGUCCAAGAAAUACCAGCCUAAGAAGAAAGAGGAAGACGAGAAUAAGUACACAUGGUGCCGCGCAUUUCAUUCGACGCUAAACGAGCUGAACGAUUACGCCGGCCAGCAUGAGGUCAUCGCUGAGAAUAUGACGUCGCAGAUCAUCACCGACCUCACGCGAUACACACAGGAGAUCAAAACAGAGAGGAAAUCGCAUUUCCAUGAUGGACGGAAGGCACAGCAACAGAUCGAAGCCAGUUGGAAACAGCUGGAGUCGUGUAAGCGAAAGUUUGAGCGUGAUUGUAAAGAAGCUGAUCGAGCCCAGCAGUACUUCGAGAAGAUGGACGCAGACAUCAACGUGACGAAAGCAGACGUGGAGAAGGCACGGCAGCAGGCACAGAUGAGACACCAGAUGGCUUCUGACAGCAAGAAUGAAUAUUCCUCAUACCUGCAGAAGUUCAACCAGGAACAGAACGAACAUUAUUACACCAUCAUCCCUAAUAUUUUCCAGAAGAUCCAGGCGAUGGAGGAGAAGAGGAUAGAGCGAAUGGGCGAGUCGCUGAAAACGUUUGCGGAGGUCGACCGACAGAUUCUGCCCAUCAUCGGGAAAUGCCUGGAUGGAAUGACACAAGCGGCCGAGUCCAUUGAACCCAAGAAUGACUCCUCUCAGGUCAUAGAGUCGUACAAGUCUGGGUUCGAGCCUCCUGGCGAUGUGGAGUUUGAAGACUACGGUCAGGCAAUGAAGAGGACGGUGUCCGAGACCAGCCUCAAUAACUCACGCUCGGACAACAAAGCCGAGCGCUCCAGCAAGGGCAAGAGCAAAACUCUCUGGCCUUUCAUUAAGAAAAACAAGCUUAUGUCCCUGUUAACAUCCCCCGUACCUCGCCAGCCCCCCCCUGACCCUCCCUCACCUUCUGCUGUGACCCCUGACCCCUGCCCCACUCCCCAGACCCCCAAACAGUCCAAGGAGCCCCUGUCCCACCGAUUCAACGACCUCAUGACCUCCAAGCCCAAAAUGCACUGCCUCAGGAGCCUCCGGCGAGGGCUCUCUCUAAAGCUGCUCUCACUCAAUGCCCACGUGCGGAACCUUAUUGAGGGUUCGAAUCCUGAGGACUUCAGUCAUCUUCCUCCAGAGCAAAGAAGGAAGAAGCUUCAGGCGAAGAUUGACGACAUUAAUAAAGACAUACAGAAAGAGAUGGACCAGAGAGAUGCUUUGACUAAAAUGAAGGAAGUAUAUAUAAAGAACCCACAGAUGGGGGAUCCCAACAGCGUGGAUCCUCGGUUAGGAGAGAUCGCCCAAAACAUUGAGAAACUGCAAGCGGAGGCACAGAAAUUUGAGGGCUGGUUAGCGGAGGUCGAAGGAAGGAUGCCGGUGAAGAGUGACCCUCCACGGCGGACAAGUGUCCUAUACGAGACCCAGAACAGCACGCCACCUUCCAACAACAACUGCGCACAGGAUAGAGAGAGCAGUCCGGAUGGCAGUUAUACAGAGGAACCGAGUUCUGAGGUCCAGAGUAAACCAGAGGUCCAUCCCGAAACAGCGGAGUCCGGAGAUGAAUUUGAUGACGCAGACGAAGAAAUGCUUCCGACCAUCGGCACCUGCAAAGCCCUCUACCCGUUUGAAGGUCAUAAUGAAGGCACCAUCGCAGUAGCAGAGGGUGAGCUCUUGUAUGUAAUAGAGGAAGACAAAGGUGACGGAUGGACGCGUGUUAGAAGAAACGAAGAAGAGGAGGGUUACGUCCCCACAUCCUACGUCGAGGUCUUUCUGGACUCCAACGCCAAAGGUGCCAUUACCUACAUAUGACCCAGAGCUUUAGGUCCUGUGAUCUCAUGAGUGUGUUUGUGUAUAUGAACACUAAAGGAGACAUCUAGGGUGUGACUCUCUCCAAGCCAAGAAAGUGACUGUUUUUUGUUAAUGCGGGCAGACUUUUUUCUGAAACUGAAUGACUAAAUGAUUGUACUGUAUGUGUCUUAGCACAUGAUGGUUUUAGAUAUUAGUCCACCAUAGUUUAAUAUGGCGGGAGUAUCUUGUUGUAUUGAAUAGCAGUGCAUGUUAGAUCACUCCAUUAAAAUGCACACAUAUACGAGGAGAUACAUGCAAGUUUUUGUACUGUUUUCAUAUGUAAAGUAAUUGUAAAGUAACUUAAGGUCCAGCCUAGAUCAUGGAGGAAAAUGUCAAAUUAGGGGCUGUUCACACAGGAUGCAUUUUUCCAUUCCACUGCUCUACUUUUUCAUCGUUUUUCAAUGUAAACACAUGCUAGACGGACAUCUCACAUCUUUUGCAGCAUCUCGCAUAUGACAUGGCAUUCUAAAAACAUGGCGCUCAGGUUAAAAUAAGUUCAACUUCUAAAGAACGAGUCUCUAGACCCUGUUUUUUCCGCUCCACUGACCAGUGUGUCUCAAUUUUGUAACUGCAGAAACGCGUUCUGUGUGGACCGGCCCUUAUGCUGGUGUUGAUCAUCACACAUUGACAUCAGUAAUAAUGAACAGUUUACAUGUAGCAUAAAUAAGUAGAAUUUCUUUAGUAAACCAUCACCAUGCCUUUGAAUAUAUCUGUGAAAAGCACAUCAUUUGCUAAUACGUGUUAGAUAGAGACUGCCGGUAUGGAUCUUUAGCUGUAUUAUUUGUUCACACUUUGUUCAAUCUCAGUACAUACACUGAAAAAAUUGGUGUAGAAACAAUUUUCACUCCGAAAUUGCUAAGUACUGUAAUACAUUGAAUUAAACAGGAAAUUGUGAAGUAGUAAGACUUAAAUAAUCUUUAAGAUUCAAAAAAUCAUUUUUUACAGUGUAUAGUUGAUAGUAUGGAAGCUUGUUUCCACCACUAAAUAAAAUAAUAAAAAAGGUAAUUGCGACUUUUUAUCUCACAAUUCUGACUUUGUUUCUCAGAAUUGCAAGAUUUAAACUCACAAUUGCGAGUUAUAAAGUCAGAAUUGCGAGAUAUAAACUUGUGAUUCUGACUUUUUCUCAGAAUUUUUUAUAACUCGCAAUUCUGACUUUAUAUCUCACAAUUCUGACUUUAUAUCUCGCAAUUCUGACUUUAUAACUCGUAAGUCUGACUUUAUAUCAUGUAAUUCUUACUUUAUAUCUCGCAAUUCUGACUUUAUAACUCACAAUUCUGACUAUGUCAUGCAAUUCUGACUUUAUAUCACACAAUUCUGACUUUAUAACUCGUAAGUCUGACUUUAUAUCAUGUAAUUCUUACUUUAUAACUCGCAAUUCGGAUGACUUUAUAACUCGCAAUUCUGACUUUGUCAUGUAAUUCUGACUUUUUAACUCGCAAUUCUGACUUUAUAGCUCACAAUUCUGACUUUAUAUCAUGUGAUUCUGACUUUAUAUCAUGUAAUUCUGACUUUAUAACUCGUAAUUCUGACUUUAUAUCUCACAAUUCUGACUUUAUAUCUCGCAAUUCUGACUUUAUAUUUCACAAUUCUGAAAAAAAGUCAGAAUUGUGAGAUAAAAAGUUGCAAUUACCUUUUUUAUUUUUUAUUUCAUGGCAGAAACAAGAUUCCAUAUGAUAUAGAUAUUCAUAACAAUAAGAUAUAACCCUGGAAAAACAUAAUGCAACCAUUUAAAUGAGUAAAAUCCAUAGACUGUAUAAAACAAUGUGACGCAGUGUCCGUGACUUUGCCUGUAGGUUUCUGAAGAGCAUUUUUGAAGCCCAAAGUGGGCGGAGCCGGCCGUCACCAUCUUGGCAGUGCGUCACUCCAAGAUAACUGAAAAUGGCAAAGAGUUGGGACGUGGGUGGAAUUAGCUGAGGUGACGUGACGGCUAACAGACCGCAGACAAACGGCUAGUAGUGACAGCAGCUGCAAUCCACCUGUCACUCAAGUGGCCACGCCCUUAAUUAUGCAGAAAUUUAAGGCUUAAUAUAAUUUAAACAGAUGAGUUUUAAAAAAAAUCACCCCCCUCACAGUUGUCAUGAAGUUCAAAAUUAGCUAUAUAGACCAAAACCACUUUUUGGACAAGGCUGUAAACAUUUUUUUUCUGCUGUAAUGUUGGGCAUUUUAACAUGGGGGGUCUAUGGGAUUGACUCCCUUUUGGAGCCUGUCUCUAGCGGCCAGUCGAUGAAUUGCAGUUUAAGUCACUUCCAUGUUGGAUUCAUAAGAGAGACCGGAAGGUUGCUGCUUGGUAAAAUCACAGUAUUCAUUAAAAAAUCACGCUCACAAAAUUUGAGUCACGACAACACACUCAUGUUUGGUGCUCCUGAUCUUUAUUCCUGACUGAGAGCUGCAAUUUUAGCUAUGAAAUGUGACGUAUGAAACGUUUCUGAAUGUUUCCUCACAGAGCUGUUUUCCUGGAGAAGGGUUUAUCUUUCUGAGGAUUCGUAAAGUAUGGAAGGAGGACUCAGUGGUGCAGGGCAAACAGCAGCCACAUGUGGGGAAAACUACAGCCUACCCUCCAUGAACCGCCCUAGAGUGAGACAGAUGAGAGACAGACACAAAAUAAAGAGAGGAACAGUGAAAGAAGCGAGAGGAAGAGGCUAUAGAGACCUCUCGGCCUAAAUUCUCCUGCUGUAGAGAGGAACUUUAACAGCAAAUCAGAGAAAAAUAUUAUGACAUUUAGAUUUCUUACCUGUCUGUUAUUUUAUAAUGAGGUGAAUAUGAUCUACAUAUAUCAUUUUGCUUUACGGCUCUUCAUCGCUGCUGAACGGCGCUAACGUUUCUUUCAGCCUGGUGCGAAUGAGUGUAUGUAUGUAUGUCUUUAACAGCUUGAAACGAUCUUGCUUCCGAUUCCCUGACCUAUCCUGAACUGGGAACGUGGUCUGUAAAAGGAGCUGAAUUUGCGGUACCACAAUACUGCUGCGUUCCGUCCGUUUUCCUACUUGACAUCUUGAAGCUCGGAAGAUGAUGUUCACUAACAGUUUGGAAUAUUUUUUUGAAAGAAGUCUCACCAAGGCUAUUUUUAUUUGAUCAAACAUACAGUAAAAACAGUAAUAUUGUGAAAUAUUAUUGCAAAUUAAAAGAACUGUUUUCUAUUUACUAUAUUUUAAACUGUAAUUGAUUCCUGUGAUUCCUUCAGCAUCAUUACUCCAGUCUUCAGUGUCACAUGAUCCUUCAGAAAUCAUUCUAAUAUGAUGAUUUGCUCCGCAAAAAAACAUUUCUGAUUUUUAUCAAUGUUUAAAACAGUUGUGCUGCACAAUAUUUUUGUGGAGAGCACAACUGUUUUCAACAUGAAUAACAAGAAAUGUUUCUUGAGCAGAAAAUCAGCAUAUUAGAAUGAUUUCUGAAGGAUCAUGUGAGACCUGAAGAAUAAUUAAGCCUUGGUGAGCAUAAGAAACUUCUUUCAUAAAUAUAUAUAAAAAACGUAAUUAUUCCAAACUUUUGAUCGAUAGUGUAUAAAGAAACAAAAUGGCAAAGCAAGCACGUUUUACAGGUUUAUGAUUAUCAACAGAUGAUUUAUCAUGUUUUAAGCAUCUAAAAACAUAUAAUAUAGGAACUUUGACUCAUUCUUGCAUUUUAUUUGCUUUAAAGCACUCGUUUAACAUUAACCACAUGUUCCGCUUUGUUUGUAUGAUGUGAAAUGUCUUCAAGUGCCCUUCUAUUGCACUUUUCCAAGUUUCAAGCUGGCAUUUAAAUGGAACGCAGCAUUAGAAUUCUUCAAGAUGUCACUCAUUCUGGCUCCUUUGUCAGGCCACACCCCUUUAGAACCUUUGACUCCACCUCCCAAAGAUAACAGCUGCUGGGCACACACGUCAGGGGCGGGGCUUCACUGGCCAAUAGCAUGUCUGCUUGCCCUGGCACCUCCUCUGUCUCCGCCCUUCCAGUGCAAUUACUAAUACUCUGUCUGUCUGCCAUCUUACCUAACUCAUUUUUAUCUAACGUCCCUUCAGUGAUUCACAUUUCCAUUCAUUUAAUGACUUCAUGCUUUACCUUAACCGUCCAGUCGUCACGCUCGAGUGCAGUUUUUUUGUUGUCCAGCAGGGGAGGGGCUAUAUUUACAUACAUGAAUAUGCUAAUGUCCUGUUUAUAUGGGUAUGUAUUUAUUGUGACAGCUGUUUUGUUCAUGUCUUCAUGGUUUUACCCUGUGGAGAACCCAGCUGAGAAUACCGCAACCUCAUUGGCUGGUUUCAGUUGGCGAUAAAGUAUAUAUAUAUGUGUGUAAGGGUUUAAAUGUACUCUGAGCCAAAUGUACAGGUUAACCAGACAUUUAACAUGCAUCAUGUGAUCUGUGUUUGGCAUUUGUAUGGCUGUCUUAACCUGAAGAUUGAACUCCAUGCUUGAGGUUUUGAUUUUUUUUCUUUUCCCCUUUUAAUGUCAUCACUGUGGUUUGACAAAGAGGAGUUUUAUUUUUUCUUUCUGUAAUGUCUGUUGUGAAGAGAUUAUAUUUUUUAAUUUCAUCAUCUUCCACUGACUACUCACCAUCCCUGAGGCACAUAAUUUUAACUUUUCUUUUUAUAUAUAUUUUUUACAUUUUCUCACACAAUCAUUUUGGGUCCAGGAGAGGUUUUAGAUAUUUUAAAUUUUUUCAUUUUCUCUUGAUUCUUAAGUAGGUUUGAAGCCCAAAACAUCUACAUCUCUACAGACGGCAUCAUGGAAAUGAAAAUUCGCACAUCCCACAAAUCUGCUAUUUAAUGCUGAAUGCUUUUAUUAUGUUUAAUGAAGCGCUUAUUGAUGAAUUAUGUUGAAGGAGCAGCAUCUCCUAAUAACUGACUGACUCGCUAUUGAUGAACCUAUGAAUAUGAAAAUGUGUAAUAAAUGAGAAAAGGUUUUGAAAAGCGGAGAACAUCUUACCAUCUUAAAGAGGAAAGCGUCAUUAUGUCUGUCUUCCGAUCUUACACACUGUCUCAAGUGCUCGGUUUCUCUUUGAGAACAAAACAAUUGCAAAACAACUUUAACAUUUAAGCCUUUUCAGCAUUGUUACUCUUCCGGCUAUCACCAUGUGACAUAUACAGUCACAGCUGUCUUAUUUGACCUAUCAGUGAUAAGAAUCAUUUGCCCUCGGCCCCUACUUGCUCUUUUUGGGGCUUCAAAACACCAUUCCCAAAUCAGAGAAUUUUAAAUAUAAAUAUAUACAUAUGUAUAUCUAUGCGUACAAGUCUAUAAAUAAGAGUGAACUACCAAUCCAUGGUAAGAGUCUAUUUUUAAAUUUUGAUUAAUAAAAAUGUCCCAGUUUCUUUUCUCUGCUUUGCUAAAUGAAUUAAACUUUUUUUUUUUUUUUUUUUUCGUCUCGUUUGGUGGAGUCUGCCAAAUGUUUGUUUUGCACUUUUUUGUUUGUGUUUUAUUUGUUAUGCUUGUGUUUUUGGAGCACUGAAUACUUUGUAUGUGUUUAACUGUGCCAAUUAAAGAUAGAGGGGAAAAAUCAAAGAA